AUCUGGUUUGUAUCCUUAUUUUUAUUUCUUUUUCUUUAUUUUUAAUAAGUUUUAUUCUUGCUUUAUAUUAGUUUAUUUGAAUGUUUUAAAUACGUACUUUUAGUUAGAUGUUUUAUUUUGUAUUAUUUGUAUUUGAAUAUUAAGUCAUUUUUGAUUCAGUAAUUCAUGAAGGGGGGUCAAAUGUCGUGCCAGCAGCCGCGGUUAUACGUCUAUCCCCUUGACUAAUUUUUUUGGUAGUAGUUAGAUUUUAUUAUAUAUACAUAUAUUAAUGUUUGGUGGAAUAUUAUUAAUUUAUUUUAUAUUUUUUUUCUUUUUUACUAUUUAGACUAUUUUUUAAACUAGGAUUAGAUACCCUAUUAUUUUAGAUUAAUUUUAUUGCCAGGGUAGUAUUUUUAUUUAAUUGAAACCUAAAGAAUUUGGCGGCAUUUUAUCUUUUUAGAGGAACCUGUUUCUUGAAUGAUGUUACACGAUUAGCACGACUUAUUAUAAUUGUUUGUAUAUUUCCGUUAUCAGAAUAUUUAUAGAUAAUAUUUUCAUUAUUUUUUAUAAAAAUUUAUUUCAGGUCAAGGUGCAGCUUAUUGUUAAGUGUUAAAUGGGUUACAAUAAUUUAAUUUAUAUGGAUAUAUUUUUUAAAUUUUUUAUUGAAGGUGGAUUUAUUAGUAAGAUUUAAUAAUUAUUAAGUUUGAAUUAGUACUAAAUUGUGUACAUAUCGCCCGUCGCUCUCAGAUAUUUGAGAUAAGUCGUAACAAAGUAGAUUUACUGGAAAGUGAAUCUGGAUUAU
rnacentral:ncRNA from 1 species